rnacentral:rRNA from 1 species
AUUGAACGCUGGCGGCAGGCCUAACACAUGCAAGUCGAACGGUAACAGGAAGAAGCUUGCUUCUUUGCUGACGAGUGGCGGACGGGUGAGUAAUGUCUGGGAAACUGCCUGAUGGAGGGGGAUAACUACUGGAAACGGUAGCUAAUACCGCAUAACGUCGCAAGACCAAAGAGGGGGACCUUCGUGCCUCUUGCCAUCGGAUGUGCCCAGAUGGGAUUAGCUAGUAGGUGGGGUAACGGCUCACCUAGGCGACGCUCCCUAGCUGGUCUGAGAGGAUGACCAGCCACUCUGGAACUGAGACACGGUCCAGACUCCUACGGGAGGCAGCAGUGGGGAAUAUUGCACAAUGGGCGCAAGCCUGAUGCAGCCAUGCCGCGUGUAUGAAGAAGGCCUUCGGGUUGUAAAGUACUUUCAGCGGGGAGGAAGGGAGUAAAGUUAAUACCUUUGCUCAUUGACGUUACCCGCAGAAGAAGCACCGGCUAACUCCGUG